CAGAUUGGCUUCUCUCGCUUAGCAACAUGUAUUUAAGUUUCCUCUAUGUAUUUUGAUGGCUUGAUAGCUCAAUUUGUUUUUAUUGUAGAAUAAUAUCCCAUUUGUAGGUAUGUGCCACCGUUUAUUUAUCCAUUCACCUGCUGAAGAAUAACUUGGUUGCUUCCAUGUUUUGGCAAUUAUGAAUAAAGCUGUUAUACAUAUUUGUGUGCAGGUUUUUGUGUGGACAUAAGUUUUCAACUCAUUUGGAUAAAGACCAAGGAGAGCGAUUGCUGGAUCAUAUGCUUCCUACCCACCAAUAUUGAGAAGGAAGUAAAAUGGAAAAGCCAAGAAAGAAUGGUCGAAUCAGGACACCAUAUGUCCAUUCCUGGCUUCUACUCCUUUUUAUAAACACAAGAGUGGAAAGGUUUGGCUUUAUUCGACACCUCAAAGAGGAGAUGCAGGAGGAUGAGCAGUCUGCAGUGCAGGAGGUUGGAGACAAAGAGAAGGUGAUGUCACAGAAACCUACGGGCACAUGGUCCCUUCUCCAAGGUGAGAAAACGGAGGCUCACAGAAGCAUAAGAACAUCAUCUAGACACGCACCUGGUUAGUGGCAAAGCCAAGGCCAGAGCAGGCUAAUAGGUGGAAGGACUUGUCUUUUCUCAGAUAAGAUUUUGGACUUUGGACUUUCGAGAUGAUGCUGGAACAAGUUAAGACUUUGGGAAACCAUUGGGAAGGCAUGACUGUAUUUUGCAAUGUGAGAAGGACAUGAUAAUUUGGGAGGGCAGAG
rnacentral:lncRNA from 1 species